AUUUAGCCCCGAUAGAGCCGAUAUCCUCGCGUAGUUUACGGAGCGAGAUAAAGGCGAAAGCGGGAAAUGGC
rnacentral:sRNA from 1 species